CCUACGGGAGGCAGCAGUGAGGAAUAUUGGUCAAUGGGCGCGAGCCUGAACCAGCCCAGUAGCGUGAAGGAUGACUGCCCUACGGAUUGUAAACUUCUUUUAUCAAGGAAUAAAGUGAGGCACGUGUGCCUGUUUGUGUGUACUUUAUGAAUAAGGAUCGGCUAACUCCGUGCCAGCAGCCGCGGUAAUACGGAGGAUCCGAGCGUUAUCCGGAUUUAUUGGGUUUAAAGGGUGGGUAGAUGGGUUGUUAAGUCAGUGGUGAAAGUUUGCGGCUCAACCGUAACAGUGCCAUUGAUACUGGCAGCCUUGAGUACAGUUGAGGUAGGCGGAAUUCGUGGUGUAGCGGUGAAAUGCUUAGAUAUCACGAAGAACUCCGAUUGCGAAGGCAGCUUACUAAACUGCCACUGACAUUGAUGCUCGAAAGUGUGGGUAUCAAACAGGAUUAGAUACCCGUGUAGUC
rnacentral:rRNA from 1 species